AGAUUACUUCUCACUUCUUACUUCGAGUUUCGUGGCAGUGCCGCUGACAACGCUCAUUCGCUUAACUACGCAGUCGAAGAUGUGACAAGCAUUUUUUGGCUGUGAUGCCAAGACGUGGCUUACCUGCGUCUUGUCUCGUUCAGUUGGCUCCGGCUUCCCUGGUUUGUCCUAGCGCCAUACCAUCACGGCUGCCCAAAUGGAGUAGGAAGUGGAACGAGUGAGUUUGUGAGAGCUACUCGUAGGACUAUGGAGUCAGCCUUCUCGAAAUUCUUUGGGAUGUUUCGUAGAUUGAGAGCAUUCAGGUUUCAGGCAAGGAGAUGCGACGCUUCGUCAUCACAUAGUUUACAUGCAACACUUAAUACUAACUAAGCUUCCGACAUUUUAGCAAGAAACUUGUAUCAAAGGACCGUCCCCCCGGCAUUGCCCUGCGGAGUACGGUACGUAGUUAUAGGCACUCCAUACUGUCCAGGUGUCAUGUCAUGUCAACGGAUCUACAUGUACCUACCUACCCCUGACCCACGCUCCUUACAUGAUCCGGUCCCUGUCCAUCUCUUGACUUGGCAACCAGAAACCCCAUCAGACUAUCAAGAUACCAUUGCUCUUGUUUCAUCUGCCGUCAACAAAAAAAAAAAAAAAAAAGUACGUACUGUGGUGGUAACCAGUGACCGGCGACCAGUGACCGGCGACCAGUGACCACAUAUUUUUGAUUCUUAAAAAAGCCACAGCCCCCGUGGCGGGGCGACCGAAUCCAUUCGUCUGCAUGGUGGCGGCAGAUCAGGGUUGAGGGAUUGUCGAUGAGGGCUUGUUUCAGCCCCAACGGCGCAUAGUUUAUAUGCUUAUUUGAGACUCGAAGAGUCGAAGUCACAUAGAUAGAGUCGAAUUGAGAUAUAAAUCAUAUGCUACAUAACCAAUAAUCCGAUUUAGCUGAAGAUGGCGUCAAGCAGAUGGAGUUGAUUGGAUACGGAGGAAAAUAUCGGAGAGCCACCAUCCUCUCUAUUCACAACUACCCUACCCUGCAAGUAUAAGCUUGUGCUUGUGACGGAACACAACGCGCAUAUAAAUAUAUACACCAGUGUGACAAUGAUUAACGCCCUUGAAUAAGCCUCGUCAGCAUGCAAGACUUGUUACGCUGGCUCUUUUGUCGGUGCUACUUUCGAACAAAUUUCCAGGAAAAUCAAAGAAAAAACCAGAUUGUUCAGAUGAUUGUUUCCACGCGUGCGCUAAGACUCUUGAUCUCGGUCAAUUACAAAGUAUAGGUAUACAUACUACAGAGUAACCUAUGCACUUAUUCGGUAUUCCGUUGUAUCGCAGACAAGUCGAAAACCCCCAAUCAAUAAUGUACGGAGUGCGUGCUUAUUUUUAAUCAAAUAAUACGAUCAGUAGUUCGCCUGUCAGAAUACACCGAUGCAGCCACCAUCAAGCCACCAAGGUGUGUUUUGAUCCUUUGCCCCCAUCCACGGUUGCCCUCCCCGCCGCCCAUUCCAUUACAUGAUAGCAGCCCAUAACAAUUGAACAGGAAGCCAAUAGGGAACGAUUUUGUUUUUUUUUUUUAAAAAAAAAAAAAAAAUCUUUUUCGAAACUCGCAAAGCAGGCGAACCAAGAAAUGAGGCUUGCAGGGUGUGUGCCGCUUUAUUCAUUAGCAACGGCACAUAGUGUGGAUGGGCUCCAUCCCCGGAUUUAUGGUCCGCCCCUCCUUGCUGUCUACUCCGUACCAUUGUAUGUAUGUAUGUAUGUAUGUACGUCCUGCUACGUAAUAAGGCAUCGGCGUACUCGGUAAUACUAUACAUCUGUAUGCUGGCAGUAUGGUACUGCUCCGUACCACUGACCAGACAGACAAUUGAAUGUAUGUUUCUAUUCCUAUCAUUCCUUCCAGAAAUUCUGAGAAUGCCGAGAUGGUGCGUGUGCAAGCAAGGACCAUGGCCAACCUCGAAUAUGCUGGCUGCACUUGCCAACCAUGCCAAGUAACUUAACCUUACGUAGCGAGUUAGUGAGCAUGGUGAGCACUAACUACGGAGUAGUGCUUACAGAGUACAGACUACAGAGUACAGACUACAGACUACAGAAUAUAAGAUAAGACGACAUGUGAUACGAAUA
rnacentral:lncRNA from 1 species